UUUAAAAUUAAAUGAUUUGGCGGUAUUUUAGUCUUUUCAUAGGAACCUGUUUUUUAAUUGAUAAUCCACGAUAAUUGUUACUUUAGUUAUAAAUUUGCAUAUCGUCGUUUAUAAAAAUUUUACUAUAGAAUUUUUUCAGAUCAAGAUGUAGUUGAUAUUAAAGAUGGAAUGGGUUACAUUAAAAAGUAAGGAUAAAAUGGAUUUGACAGUAAGCUCUAAAAUAUGCACAUAUCGCCCGUCGCUUUCGCUUUAAGGUGGAAUAAGUCGUAACAUAGUAGGCUUAUUGGAAAAUGAGCCUAGAAUGCAAAUUAGAGCUUGGUAAGCAUUUUAUUUACACUAAAAGGUUAAUUGUGAAAUUCAAUUUAAUUUGAAGGUGAAGUAUUAUUAAAUUUAUUAUUAAUUUUUGUUUAAAAGAAAUAUAUUGGUUUUUAUUAUUUUAUGAACUAAUUUUAUUAUAGAUUAUUGUACUGUGAGGGGGUUAUUAAUUUAUAAAUAAGUAGAUUUUUUUUGUUGUACCUUGUGUAUCAGGGUUUAUUAAUUUUGGUUUCUCGAAUUUAUAAGAGCUAGUUUUAAUGUAGAAUAAUUAUUAUUAAUUGUCUUCUUGAAAUGAAAUGUUAUUCGUUUAUAAAUAUAUCUAGUUUUUUAAGAAUCAAAUUUAAGUUGAUUAAAUUUAUUGACAUUUUUAGGGGAUAAGCUUUUAAUUAUAUUUUUAAAAGUUUAUUUAAUUUAUUAAAUUUUAGGAUUAGAAUUUUCCAUUUUUGAGGAUGUUAUAAUUUACUUUAAGUUUUUUAUUAAAAUAUUAGUUUUAAUUGGGUAAAUUAAGUAAUAAUGAUAAAAUUAGUAAGAUUAAUCUAAGGAAUUCGGCAAAUUUAGUUUUCACCUGUUUAUUAAAAACAUGGCCUUUUGAUUAUAAUUUAAGGUCUGACCUGCCCAAUGAUUAAAUGGCCGCAGUAUUUUGACUGUGCAAAGGUAGCAUAAUCAUUAGUUUCUUAAUUAGAAGCUGGAAUGAAUGGUUUGAUGAGGGACUAACUGUCUCUAGAAUUUAAAUUUUAAGUGAAAAUGCUUAAAUUUUUUAAAAAGACGAGAAGACCCUAUAGAGUUUUUUAAAAGAGGAGACAUAAAAAUUAGUAAAACUUUUUUUA
rnacentral:rRNA from 1 species